GUUUUAUUUUAUAACCGUGAAAAAUAAAAAGUAAGAACAACAAACAACACAUGCAGAUACUCGUCGCUGUAUCAUAACUACAGACCGAAGACCGUAAACUGAAGACUUAAAACACCCACACGCAUAUUUGACUUUGGACGGACAUGGCGCACCGAUCCAUCUUGAGCCGGUAACGAGCCAUGACAAAAGUGAAGUUUACGCAACGCUCGCGUCCGAGCCGUGGAUCCGGCAGAAAAAGUGUUAAGUUAAAUAGACCAUCUGCAACACAUGCGAAUUUAUGAGGUGCUGCGGUGCUCACACUUUCAUGCCAGGUAUUCGGAGUGUUUUCUGUCUGUUUCGGUUCGCAUUGCUUGUCGAGUAUUCAAGUUGUGUGGAAUAACAAAUAAAGGGCCCAAACUUCAGAAAAAAAUAGGCAGUUAUACUUCCAAAAAAAAAAAAAAUUUAUUUAAACGCAAAAGUACUUCAAGUUAAUGAAAAUUUAGCAGAGAAUGGUUUUGUUGAGGAGUUAAGGAAUCGUUCCAAUUUUUCGACGUGGUCUGGUUAAUAGUUACAAUGGCAGGGAUGUUCCCCAUUUAUCGAAUGAUACGGACAAUUACGAAUAAUUAACAAAAAUUUGGAAGUCAAUUAUUUUACAAUUGUAAUUCAGGAUUUCUUCCCAUAAAAAAACAAAAAUUUUUAAUUUUCAUAAGAAAAGAUUGUAUGUCUGUGAGGUAUA